GAUGAAGAACGUAGCGAAAUGCGAUAACUAAUGUGAAUUGCAGAAUUCCGUGAAUCAUCGAGUCUUUGAACGCACAUUGCGCCCCCUGGUAUUCCGGGGGGCAUGCCUGUCCGAGCGACAUUGCUGCCCAUCAAGCACGGCUUGUGUGUUGGGUCCUCGUCCCCCCCGGGGGACGUGCCCGAAAGGCAGCGGCGGCACCGCGUCCGGUCCUCGAGCGUAUGGGGCUUUGUCACCCGCUCUGCAGGCCCGGCCGGCGCUGGCCGACGCGAAAGCAACCAUUUUUUCUCCAGGUUGACCUCGGAUCAGGUAGGGAUACCCGCUGAACUUAAGCAUAUCAAUAAGCGGAGGA
rnacentral:misc_RNA from 1 species